GUCUGAACAGAGAAGUAGUGGGGCAAGCAGCAGAUUGGCUGUCGCCCAUUUCUCAAGAUGCCAGCCGUUAUCAAAGCAGACCCUCUGAGUUUGCUCAUAGGAACAAGCUGAGUUGCACAGCUGCUGGCACACAAGAAACAAAGGACCCUUGACAUAGCUUCCUCAUGGUGGCAUGAGUAAAGUUCUCUACUUUGUUCAGCACAAAGGCAUGGACGUUGCCAAUUAUAAAUGACAAACUAAUGAAGGAAGAGAAACCCACUUCUUAAACUCUGCCAACCUGUCAGUCCAGCCAUGCAAGAGAGGGAGAGAGAAAAAAGGAGGGAGUGAAGCAGAGAUUCUUUCAGAUCUCAGCAGAUAUUAAGAGACAUAUUUGAAUAAAGAGUGCAACAGGAAAGAUAGUGACUGUGUUCGUAUGUCCCCUUCCCUGGAUAUUUGAUUUACAGCAUACUCCAGAAAAUAGCAGAAAAGGAUUAUGCUUUCUGUUUCAAGGAGCAGUAAAGAAAACAGCCCCUGCAAGUGGAAGAAACCCUGUAGAAUACUGUCUCUUUUCUGCCCCCAUACUCAUACCUUAUUAAUAACCCCCUGUGUUUAGAGAAGAGGUACAGCAACACUGAACUGUAGCAAACAACAGAGCUGAGGGUGUUGGUCCUGUUAACCAAAAGUGGCGGGCAUGAUCUGAUCUCAUUCUGUCAUUGUUCAUGCCCUGCCACUUACCUAUUGUUGAAUACGUUAUUACAUCAUGUCUAUUAAGAGCUGCAACAAACUGUUCUAUUAUUCCCUGCCAGCAAGAUACAGUGGAAAAGUUCCUCGAAGAUUUUUUUCUGUGCUCGUGUAGGCUGAAUAGAACUCACAAAGCUCAAUGUGUGGAGAAUAUUGCCAAGCUAUUGAAAUCAGUGUGCGCUGAUUUUGACAUGAGUGUGUCAGGAAGAAGGAAACUGUAAUUAGUCCUAAUACUUAUAUUCAAUUGCCUCACAGCUAACUUAGAUUAAAAUUAAAGCCCAGGGGGCUGUGCCUGCUGAAGUUACUGAGAGGUUGGCUGCUGAAUUGCGCUGGAGGAAAACUGGACAUAAAAUGAAUAUUUUCAGUUCCAUAUCUGCAUAGCUGUUACAUGCAUCAGCUUUACCACUUUCUAGAACUGAGGCUGCAGGAACCCCACCAGAGAUUGAAGCUCUGAUCCUAUCAGCUCAGCCCUGAAAUGCACAGGGUUCAUACCUCAUGGGCUAAGAACCAGAAGGAGGGCUUUUCAGGCAGCAGGAAAUGAUGAUACGAUGAUUCCUGGACUCUGCUGCUCCUCUGCAGGGGGGUGGGCAGCACUGGUCACACAGCAGGGUCACCUUUAAGGGUUGGCCUCCUGUUUGCUGUGCUCCUUGCUUGGGGAUGUAGCAUAUGAAGGCAGUCCCAGCACUGAUGCAGGGAGGUGGCUGCUCCCUGGCUGAACUCUGCCUGUGCACUGCAUGUCACAUGUGUUUCUACCACCUACAGCUGCACCAGGAGAUGCUGGCAUGGAUCUGGAGCUGUUAAAAGCAUGCUGUGCCCAGCUGUCCUGGUAUAGGAGUGUCUGGGAGCUCAGGGCUGAAAAGGGGAAGAGAGUCCUGAGUUGUGAGCAGUUUCAGGUUUCACCCCUGCCAAACUGUCUGAGACAAAGAAUGGCAGUGAGGCCUGAAAUAAAGAGUUUCAAGUUGCCAGCACUUUCCAUUUCUCUUGGUAUUUCAGUGUUUCCACUGCUUGCUCUUGGCUACGACCAAGCAGUGCAUAUGGUGUGAAUAGAUUAAAAUAGACAUUUUCAGCUUUCUACAGAUUCUGGGAGUCUCUCUGAGUUGUAAUCAGGGGCCUUGCUCAUUAUAAACCUGUCCCAAGGCUCUGGUAUCCACUCUUCAUCAAGAAGUAACCAUCAGAGCCUGUCAUCUCAAACUAAAGGGGCAAAUUUCUUUCUUUCUUUUUUUUUUCUUUAGUUUUAAGGAGAUCUGGUUUCACUUAGAUGAAUUAAAUGCCAAUAUAUCUCCUACUGGGAAUUGUUUCAGUGUCGAUUGCAGCACAGUUGCAAUACUUUAAAAUGCGUGCAAAUGUCUGCUGCUUUGUGCUAUUUGUAUCUAUCUCAGAAAAUGUUUAAUAAACACUUAUACACUGAUAUUCCAGGUCUUCUUCCUGCACUGAGGUUUUGAAUUGGAAGUCCAAGAAUUAUCCUUUUCUCCGAGCUUAGCAUAUUUCAAGUGUGCUUUUAGUUCUGUAUUUGGAAUCUUUGCAGUUGAAAGACCUAUAUUCACAAAAUGAUGGAGAGGAAUGGUGUUCCUUGUAAGACAAUGCUCUCACAACUGUGUAUUUCAGUCACACUGCUGGUUGAACUGCAGCCCAGCCAACCUCUGCUGCAUUCAGUCAUCUAAUCUGAAGUGAUCAGUACAAGGAAACUUUAAUUUUAGGGAAAUUUGAGCUGUUUUAAAGCUUUGCUCCAAUGGCUGCGUAUAAAUCAUUGUGAAUUUAAGAGUUUUGCAAUCAAAGCUCAUGGUUUGGGUGUGCUCCUCUCAUUGAAGUCAACACAAGAGCAUGUAUGAUCUGACAGUGCUCUGGUUUGUAUUCGGGGAUGGAGACCCCUCUCCUUCAGCUCUGAUCCCCAGGGCUCUGGCUCUGGGAAUAUGUCAGGCUCAGUUUAGGGGAGUUUGCUUUUUCCCUCUCCUUGCAGAGAUACCCUUCAGUAAUCUGUGGGAAUCUAAGAUGAGAUGGAGAUAAAUACAAAAGAAUAUAAAUAUUCUUACUCUCCGUGUUACAGAACAAGAAUAUGACUUUUCUGAUUCAAGUAUUAGGGGUAGUUGGUUCCCUUUCUAAAAAUGAAGGGAGGGAGGCAGGAAGGCAGGCAGGAAGGCAGGCAGGAAGGAAGGAAGGCAGGAAGGAAGGAAGGAAGGAAGGAAGGAAGGAAGGAAGGAAGGAAGGAAGGAAGGAAGGAAGGAAGGAAGGAAGGAAAAGAAGAGUCUCAACUGUUCUACAAUAGAUUUAUUUAGUUUCUGUGAUGUUUUUUUGUUGGUGUUGGUUGGAUUUUUUUUUUAGGAAACAAGUAUUUGAGUCAGUUCCAAGGCAGCUCAAAAGGCUUCUACUUGUCACAUUUCUGGUCUAUGAGCUCAAAGACUUCCAGGGUUACACAACAAUGACUAAAACUGAAAACCUUUCAGACCUUUUCCAAAAUGAAGUGGGAAACUGAGGUGAUUGCUAAGCCAAUGCCAGAGAGGGAUCCACUUCCACGUGCGUGGAAUUGAGCAGAGAGGACCCAGCUUCAUUUGGAAGCUUCGAAUUGUCUUAUUUUUGAUUUAAUCUCAUGUUCAGAACAUAAUUAUUCUGGAACCAAGAUCUUCACAUUGUUUUGCUUAAUGCUUUACAAACAGACUGUUGACUGAAGUUGUCACUGAACAAAAAUUUGCUUCUACAUGUUUACAUAAUGGGAAAACACAGUCAUAAAAUGGGUGUAACAACAACUCGUUAGGUAUUAGGUUAAGGUGCAGUACAGGAAUUAUCCCCAUAAAACGCUAAACCCUAAACUCAAAAUAUCACAACGAAGUUGCAGGUUACACUUACUGAAAGCCUUUAAAAGUCUUUAAGCUUUAACAUGAUGCUUAAAGCUUCUGAGAGAGCUGAUGACAAUCAAGAGUGCUUCUUGUACAACUGCUCUAUUCAAGAGGAACCAGAUUAAGAUGAUAAAUAUAAUACAAAGGCUUGAUUCUAGUAGUGUUUGCUUUGUUGUAACUCUUAAAUGGAUGUAAUUGGGUGCUGAGUUUGUUCCUAGUUCUGCCACUGCACUACCUUAUGGCCUUUUAAACCAGUGUAUGUACUUACCUUUAUCUAAUCAGGGUGGGAAUUUCAGAGAUACCAGUUUGGGGGUCCAUGUGCUGACCCUACGAACACAGCUCUCUGCAGCAGCAAUGCUGCAGUACAUAACACAGCAAGAUCCUAGCCUUGGCUCAGAUAAUUUGCUCAGAGUAUUUGCUUAUUUUCUGAACUCUGAGACUGAUUCAUAAAGAAGACCUUCUGAACUCUCUCUGGCAUUUACCCUAAUGAAAUCUUUGAGAUUUCUUAAUUACUCUCUUCCUUCUAUCUUGCCUAAGUUUGCUGCUCAAUUUUUAUCUCUAAUAAGCCAGUGUGUAGGGGUUAAAUAUGCCUAUAUGUAUGGUUACUAAAAAUACUGUAAAUUUCCAUGCACUUUUUGCUCUGAAAGACAGGAUAGUAUGCAAGAGGAGGCUUAUAAUGUGUACAAACAUGCCCAGAAGCAAAGGGGGGAAAAUAAAACACAUACAGAAAGUAAAAGCAAGACAAAAAAGGGUGAGGGAUUGUGAUUGUUAGAGGAAGGUGAAUACACUUCCUGGCAACAUCUGAGAAUCAUUUACAGCAACUGAUCCAUGAGCCUUAGUGAGUAGGGAAUGUUUUUAAAUCCUCCCCCAUCCUCUUUGUUAAUCUUUACCAGGUAGUAGGGUCUUUAAUGCAGUUCCUACGGGCAUCUCGGGAUGUGUAAAAUAUUUUGUCCGUUUUGAAAAAUAAUAUAUUUGACAUGGCUCCAAGAUUGAGAUGCAGAAGUCUGGUUAUAAGUCUGUGGUCUUCUCCUCUUUAAACUUAGGUAGUAAUAAUAGCCUUCAGACUGCUCUGCAAAAGGCAGAAUGUCUCCGUAGAGCAAGCGAUGAACAUCUGGCCUCAGUGCCUCUUGGUUGAAAUAGGAAAAUCACUUUCAAAAGUGUCCCCAUGAAUGAAGUGCAGAUCGUAAUACAAGCUUAUAUAAUUCAGGAACAUUGAAGGAUGUUUUUUUUUUUAAACUUAAAACGUUCUGAGCAACAUCAGACAAUAUAAAAGAGUUAUUAAUUAUGAUGCAUGAUUAUUAUUGCACUCAGGAGACUUGAAGAGGUAGCCUGGAAAAGUUCAGAUUUGGCUCACCUUUAAGCACACCCAAAAUACUGGGCAACAUUUGUAGAUGUUUUUGAGUGACUGAGGAGGCUAUUUCCUAAGACUUUCAAGCACAUUUGGGAUUUUAGGUCAUUUGGGGCACGUCUCCACUGCGCAAUGCCAAAUGGCUCUGAGCAAGCCAAUUUUCAACACGAUGGAGAAAGAUUAACUGAGAGCAAUAUAUGUGUUACUUUUCCUCUGCACUGAUUCUAUUCUAAUCCACCUAGCUCCAGGGGUAGAUUAUUUGGUUCUGGUUGAAAAGGCUCUGCAUCAUGUUUCUUCUUCUUAUAGAUCUACUCUCUCUAUAUCAUAUAUUAUAUAUUACAUAUUAUAUGUUAAAUGCUAUAUAUGUUGCAUGUUUUAUAUAUAUAUGUUAUAUGUUAUAUAUUAUUUUGUAUAUUAUGUUAUAUAUUUAUUAUAUAUUAUAGGCAUACUCAUACAAUUGUUUUGCAAAAUCCAGUCCAGCAUCUGAAUGCAUGGCUUCAUUUACACCAGUCAGAACCCCACCUGAGGCACUCACAGGAAUAUAUAUAUAACCACCACCUGUGCUUAAGAGGGACCCUAAGUAGGGUGGGAUCUUAAUGCACGAGGAAUCACAAAGUUCUCUCCAGUGCAUCAUGGACUACUGUACAAUUUGGGUGGACUUUCCCACUUAGUUGCAUGUCUGACAGUCUAUCGCUGUUGCCAACACCAUCAGUACUUAAAGAUGGUACCAGCAAAACAGCAUUUCUGAAAUAAGAUUAUUUGCUGAAGGCAACAGCAGCAAGUGGAAUCAACUCAGUAGUCUUUUUUUCAUGAUCUGGGAGCUCUGUUUAGAGCAGCAAGAUGUUUGUGAGUAAUUUAAAGGCACGCUCGUCCGAAGCAGUCAAUAAGAAUAACAGCAUAAAACCUUGGUAUGUGUUGUGUAUAAUGACAUAUUGACUCCUGCUUACAAUGUGCUUCAUUUUCACACCUCACAUCAUGAGCUUCUUCAAACAAUUGCACAACAGUUUCUAGCUUUUGUUUGUUGUUAAUUAUGACUUAUAAGAUGUUAGGUCAGUAGUCGUCAAUGGACUAAGCUAAAGUGUUUGUUUAAAGCAAUGAGUAAAGCAAGUCAUAUGAAUGUUUCCAAAGACUGUAUUCCAAGAAGUAUUUUUGGAAACAUUAAUGUUGUGUUUUUUA